rnacentral:rRNA from 1 species
AUUGAACGCUGGCGGCAGGCCUAACACAUGCAAGUCGAACGAGUGGCGGACGGGUGAGUAAUGUCUGGGAAACUGCCUGAUGGAGGGGGAUAACUACUGGAAACGGUAGCUAAUACCGCAUACCAUCGGAUGUGCCCAGAUGGGAUUCGCUAGUAGGGGGGGUAAAGGCUCACCUAGGCGACGAUCCCUAGCUGGUCUGAGAGGCUGACCAGCCACACUGUAACUGCGACACGGCCCAGUCUCCUACGGGAGGCAGCAGUGGGGACUAUUGCACAAGGGGCGCAAGCCUGAUGCCGCCGUGACGCGUGUAUGAAGAAGGCCUUCGGGUUGUAAAGUACUUUCAGCGGGGAGGCGUUACCCGCAGAAGAAGCACCGGCUAACGCCGUGCCAGCAGCCGCGGUAAUUC